GCUGAUGUAGCUCAAUGGCAGAGCAAUGCAUUCGUAAUGCAUAGGCUGGGGGUUCAACUCCCCCCAUCAGCUCCA
rnacentral:tRNA from 1 species